GUGAGAUGCCGUGGCUCGCUGUCCCCUACACUGAUGAGGCCCGGCGGUCUCGUCUCAACCGACUGUAUGGGAUCCAAGGCAUCCCCACGCUCAUCGUGCUGGACCCGCAGGGGGAAGUGAUCACUCGGCAGGGCCGGGUGGAGGUGCUCAAUGACGAGGACUGCAGGGAGUUCCCAUGGCACCCGAAGCCCGUGCUGGAGCUCUCUGACUCCAACGCUGUGCAGCUCAAUGAGGGUCCCUGCCUCGUCCUUUUUGUAGACUCUGAGGACGAUGGAGAGUCUGAGGCAGCCAAACAGCUGAUCCAGCCAAUAGCUGAGAAGAUCAUCGCCAAGUACAAAGCCAAAGAAGAGGAGGCGCCGCUGUUGUUCUUUGUGGCCGGGGAGGUGAGUGCAGAGGACGGGCCUGGUGUCCUGGCCAGACUGGCAGUAGGGACUUUCAGGACAUGAGUGAUCUUGGCUUCUGGAGGUCUGAAGGGACCUCUGGGUCUGAGCUGAUUGUACCACACAGAGAUGUAAGAGGAAAAGGUGUGUCCUUAGUCAUCAGACACCGCUUCCUAUCCCUGCUGUAUCCCCCAACCCCCGCCCUUCCUUCUCACUCAGCAGCCCUCAGAACAUUAGGAAACCCUCCUGGGUCUGUUCCCCGUGCACUGCUGGGAGAGCAGCGGCAGACAUCAGUCAGCCACCCUCACUCCUAUCUGUGGUGCUGGAUCAGAACCAGCCCCCAGUGCUUUGCAAAGUAUCCGCCCAUCUAGUCCCACUGUACCAGCCUGCAACACAGGCUUAGCCAUCCUGACUUAAAACACAGCUGAAGACGCUUGGGGAGGUUGGAAGUUGCGGCUGUUCCCCAGCUGUUGAGCCCAAGGCCUAGUUCUUGAAGACCCUCACUGUGCCAGACUGAGUAGGGGACAUCCUCCAGGUCCUUAGAGUAGAGAUGCCUUGUGCAGGCGCCUGACCCCCCA
rnacentral:lncRNA from 1 species